GAUGAACGCUGGCGGCGUGCCUAAUACAUGCAAGUCGAGCGAACGGACGAGAAGCUUGCUUCUCUGAUGUUAGCGGCGGACGGGUGAGUAACACGUGGAUAACCUACCUAUAAGGCUGGGAUAACUUCGGGAAACCGGAGCUAACACCGGAUAAUAUUUUGAACCGCAUGGUUCAAAAGUGAAAGACGGUCUUGCUGUCACUUAUAGAUGGAUCCGCGCUGCAUUAGCUAGUUGGUAAGGUAACGGCUUACCAAGGCAACGAUGCAUAGCCGACCUGAGAGGGUGAUCGGCCACACUGGAACUGAGACACGGUCCAGACUCCUACGGGAGGCAGCAGUAGGGAAUCUUCCGCAAUGGGCGAAAGCCUGACGGAGCAACGCCGCGUGAGUGAUGAAGGUCUUCGGAUCGUAAAACUCUGUUAUUAGGGAAGAACAUAUGUGUAAGUAACUGUGCACAUCUUGACGGUACCUAAUCAGAAAGCCACGGCUAACUACGUG
rnacentral:rRNA from 1 species